rnacentral:snRNA from 1 species
UUACAGUACCUGGCAGGGGAGACACCUUGAUCACGAAGGAGGUUCACCCAGGGCGAGGUUCGGCCAUUGCACUCUAGACGAGCUGAUCCCUCGAAUUCCCCAGAUGUGGGAAUCUCUACUUCAUAAUUUGUGGUAGUGGGGGACUGUGUCCGUACUCAUACACCACCCCCCC